rnacentral:rRNA from 1 species
UACGGAGGAUGCGAGCGUUAUCCGGAUUUAUUGGGUUUAAAGGGUGCGUAGGUUGUUUUUUAAGUCAGCGGUGAAAGUUUGUGGCUCAACCAUAAAAUUGCCGUUGAAACUGGAAGACUUGAGUGUGUUUGAGGUAGGCGGAAUGCGUGGUGUAGCGGUGAAAUGCAUAGAUAUCGAGAGGAACACUCGUGGCGAAGGCGGGUUCCUGGACAUUAACUGACGCUGAGGCACGAAGGCCAGGGGAGCGAAAGGG